rnacentral:rRNA from 1 species
UACGUAGGGGGCGAGCGUUGUCCGGAAUUAUUGGGCGUAAAGAGUACGUAGGCGGUCUGUUAAGCGCAAGGUGAAAGGCAUAGGCUCAACCAAUGUGAGCCUUGCGAACUGACAGACUUGAGUGCAGGAGAGGAAAGCGGAAUUCCUAGUGUAGCGGUGAAAUGCGUAGAUAUUAGGAGGAACACCGGUGGCGAAGGCGGCUUUCUGGACUGAAACUGACGCUGAGGUACGAAAGCGUGGGGAGCAAACAG